rnacentral:tRNA from 3 species
GCGGGUGUAGUUCAAUGGUAGAAUCCCAGCCUUCCAAGCUGGUCGUGAGGGUUCGAUUCCCUUCACCCGCUCCA